rnacentral:rRNA from 1 species
UACGGGGGGGGCAAGCGUUGUUCGGAAUUACUGGGCGUAAAGGGCUCGUAGGCGGCCAACUAAGUCAGACGUGAAAUCCCUAGGCCCAACCUAGGAACUGCGUCUGAUACUGGAUGGCUUGAAUCCGGGAGAGGGAUGCAGAAUUCCAGGUGUAGCGGUGAAAUGCGUAGAUAUCUGGAGGAAUACCGGUGGCGAAGGCGGCAUCCUGGACCGGCAUUGACGCUGAGGAGCGAAAGCCAGGGGAGCAAACGGG